rnacentral:lncRNA from 1 species
UGACAGAGCUGAACAGCAACCAAUGGCCAAUCCCUGCAGGAAUAUAAACAAAUAACAUGUAGUCAUAUGUAUUUUGUGUGUGAGAUAAGCAGAGGGUUUAUCUUCUGGGCAUCUGUUUCAAAGUGUGAGAUGUUUGACUUCCUCCAAAAUCUUUUUCAGCAGACUGGCUUACAUGAGGCCCAGUCAGCAGGUGACUGCUUCCUGCUUCUGCCACACAACCCAAGCCCUGUUCUGGUGGUAUCCGGAAGUGGCCCAAUGGCAGUCAAAUCUGAGGCACUGGGCCAGGAAAUGAAUGAUGAAGGUGAAUGCUACCAAUGAAGCACCUAUCAACCUGUAUGGUAUGAAGGAAAAGCAUUCUGAGGUGAUAAAAAGGUGUUCCAUUGUGUGACACAGAGAUUGGAAAGCUGCAGUACAUACAUAAGAUGAAGCAUUCAAACAGAACUGAGAAGUAAGAUAUUGGUGGUCAAGAUUGUAUAAAGGAAAGUGUGAGUGGUGGCGUAGGGUUCCAGUGAAUUUUGGAAAUUUCAUGUGAGCUCAUGUAAGCAGACACUGGGAAGACAUUCUCUGAAACAGGUAAGAUCCAGGCCAUGGCUCCAGGACACAAAGAAUUAGGAGGUUGUUCCAUACAGUGAAUGUGUUCAACAGUAUUCCUCCUGAUGUAAGGGCAUCCUGAAAUAUGCUUGUACUGUACAGGUGAGUGAGUGAGAGGAUGAAACAUAUGAAAGCUGGGGCCGGCUGCUUCCUUUGAGGCAGUUGUACAAGUGCUUGUGUUAAAAUGAGAGGAUAUGUGACUGAAUUAACUUCAAAAAUAGAUAAACAGGAAAAUGGAGAGUUUUAUCUACUUAUGUAUUGAUAGGCUUGUUUAUUUGAUUAGCUAGAAACAUAUUGGCAUUGAAUUUUAUUUCUGCAGGGCCACCUUGUGCUCCCAUGGAGAUCCCUUCCAUUAUUCUUGAAUGUUUCAGUUCACCCACUCUUGACUUGGAGCUGUCUACUGCUCUUAAGCCCAGGUCUUUCUUCCUUUCAGUCAUGGUCAAUACUGCCCUCAGGCAUUAGAGGGUGCCUGAGGCAAAGGGUGGAUUUCAACAUGCCUGCAAGACUGCAGUGAAUGCACCUAAGGGGGUUGAGGAUGGGUCCAAGGGCUCCUUAUUGUGGAACCUCUCAGGUCAGCUCCUCCAUAAUGACUUCUGAGGUUCAGAGAGACCUACACAUCAGCCAUAAUGAGUGCCCCCACAUUGAUCUUCACACAAAGCCAGGAGCCUCAGCACUGUGAGCACAGGUUUCCCAUG